AGGCUGAAAAGCGUAGUCGAUGGGAAACGGGUUAAUAUUCCCGUACUUGGAUAAACUGCGAUGUGGGGACGGAGCAGGUUAGGUUAGCGUGCUGUUGGAUAUGCACGUUUAAGUUUGUAGGUGGGAAGUUUAGGCAAAUCCGGACUUCCUUAACACUGAGAGAUGAUGACGAGGCUCUACGGAGCUGAAGUAACUGAUACCACACUUCCAGGAAAAGCCACUAAGCUUCAGGUUUAUCUAAACCGUACUGAAAACCGACACAGGUGGUCAGGUAGAGAAUACUCAGGCGCUUGAGAGAACUCGGGUGAAGGAACUAGGCAAAAUAGCACCGUAACUUCGGGAGAAGGUGCGCCGGCGUAGAUUGUAGCCCCUUGCGGGCGAAGGUUGAACCGGUCGAAGAUACCAGCUGGCUGCAACUGUUUAUUAAAAACACAGCACUCUGCAAACACGAAAGUGGACGUAUAGGGUGUGACGCCUGCCCGGUGCUGGAAGGUUAAUUGAAGAUGUGAGAGCAUCGGAUCGAAGCCCCAGUAAACGGCGGCCGUAACUAUAACGGUCCUAAGGUAGCGAAAUUCCUUGUCGGGUAAGUUCCGACCUGCACGAAUGGCAUAAUGAUGGCCAGGCUGUCUCCACCCGAGACUCAGUGAAAUUGAAAUCGCCGUGAAGAUGCGGUGUACCCGCGGCUAGACGGAAAGACCCCGUGAACCUUUACUAUAGCUUGACACUGAACAUUGAAUUUUGAUGUGUAGGAUAGGUGGGAGACUUUGAAGUAGUCACGCCAGUGAUUAUGGAGUCGUCCUUGAAAUACCACCCUUUAACGUUUGAUGUUCUAACGAAGAUUGCGAAACGCGGUCUCGGACAGUGUCUGGUGGGUAGUUUGACUGGGGCGGUCUCCUCCCAAAGAGUAACGGAGGAGCACGAAGGUUUGCUAAUCACGGUCGGACAUCGUGAGGUUAGUGCAAUGGUAUAAGCAAGCUUAACUGCGAGACAGACAAGUCGAGCAGGUACGAAAGUAGGUCAUAGUGAUCCGGUGGUUCUGCAUGGAAGGGCCAUCGCUCAACGGAUAAAAGGUACUCCGGGGAUAACAGGCUGAUACCGCCCAAGAGUUCAUAUCGACGGCGGUGUUUGGCACCUCGAUGUCGGCUCAUCACAUCCUGGGGCUGAAGUAGGUCCCAAGGGUAUGGCUGUUCGCCAUUUAAAGUGGUACGCGAGCUGGGUUUAGAACGUCGUGAGACAGUUCGGUCCCUAUCUGCCGUGGGCGUUGGAGAAUUGAUUGGGGCUGCUCCUAGUACGAGAGGACCGGAGUGGACGCACCACUGGUGUUCCGGUUGUGUCGCCAGACGCAUUGCCGGGUAGCUACAUGCGGAAGAGAUAAGUGCUGAAAGCAUCUAAGCACGAAACUUGCCAAGAGAUGAGUUCUCCCUGUCUUUAAGACAGUAAGGGUUGUUUAAGACUAAGACGUAGAUAGGUGCGGUGUGUAAGUGUAGUGAUACAUUGAGCUAACGCAUACUAAUUGCCCGAGAGGCUUAGCC
rnacentral:rRNA from 1 species